rnacentral:lncRNA from 1 species
CAACCGUUGAUGAGAAAUGAAGGUGACGCGGGCGGACCUAAGACAAAUUAUGUGGUGUGGUUUGCUGUGGCACUGGGCUCAUUUUGCAUAUUGCCAUUUGGACAGCGGAUUCGUAGAUCAAUCUCAUUGAUAAGUGAAGAUACCUUAUCAGUGUAAGUCGAGGCGACAUACAUCAAUAAGCCAGUUGUUGCCAACCGUUGAUGAGAAAUGAAGGUGACGCGGGCGGACCUAAGACAAAUUAUGUGGUGUGGUUUGCUGUGGCACUGGGCUCAUUUUGCAUAUUGCCAUUUGGACAGCGGAUUCGUAGAUCAAUCUCAUUGAUAAGUGAAGAUACCUUAUCAGUGUAAGUCGAGGCGACAUACAUCAAUAAGCCAG